UGCUUUGCACUUUUUACAGUUUAUUCACCAACACUUUAUUUAAUAAAAGUCCCAUCUAGUUUUUAUGAGGAAUGUGAUGUUUUAAUUUAUCUGUGAAUAACUGCAGUCUAAUGGAACAGCUGGAGUUGUAACAUCUGUCCUGAUAUUGAUCAUGAAGUAUUGAUCAGAAUACUUAUGGUCAGCAGUCAUCCCUGAAGUUUUAUAUUAAAAUCUUUACUUGUGUUGUGAACUUUGGUAAGAAGCAGAAACAUUAGUGUUGCCAUGGAUACAUGAGUGUUAAAUUCUGUCCAUGUUUCCAUUUUGGGAAAUGCAGUCCAGUUCCAGAAUGUGGAGGAAUUUAGUCUCAAUCACAGUCAACAAAUAUUAUCUGAAAGUCGGGUUAUUGUUGUUUAUCAGCACAAUACAAAAGAUUAAUGUUAGAAAUAUUCUAGUUAAGACUCUAGAAUAUCAUGAUUUAUGUAAAUUUACCUCAAUAAUAUGAAUGUUCAGGUUAAGAUUGUACAGUGAUAUUUAUUAUGUAAGUUUAGCUGAUUAAAGUUUAUGACUCUGCACUAAAAUAUGAUUUAAAUUGACAUCAUUAUUAUAAUAUUUAGGGUCAGACCCGACAGUAUUGAGAUUAAGAAAUCAAAUAUUCUAUAAAAAUUUAAAUACACUGAACUCAUUUGGAUAUAUUUAAGUGAGACUCUACAAUAUUAUUUAUGACACAAAUCUAUCUAAAUCAAAAUUUUAAUAAUUUUCACGCCAAACAUUUACUGGACUGAUUUAAAUAUUAAAAUCACUCCUUUCUAAUCCUCUGCUGUACGUUCAAACCUGAGGCCUUAAAUAGAAACACACAAAUAUCUGAUUGAAGGAACUUCUGCAGAGUCCUGGUUCCAGAACAUGAUGAUAGAAUUAUAGACAAACUUUAACAAAAGCUGCCUGAGAGUUUACAGGUUUUUAUGUUGGAUUUCUUCAGUAAUUUAAUGAGUGUUAUCAGCAAAAAUCAAGUGUUCAUUUGAUGAACUUCAUUUCCUAAAACAUCCAGAAUUGGAGCUCAUAUCUUUGGCAGCUGUAAAGUUUCUGCUCCUUCAAAGUUCACAACACAAUGAAUGAAUUCCUAAAACACUCUCAAUGCUGGAGAGCGUUUGUGAUGCUGAAGUAGUGACCAGUUUUUCUGUUUCUUCUCUGGAGAUGCACAAUGAGGGACGUCUGCAGAGACUGAGAAAGAGUCUCACCACAUCCUGACAUGAGGAAAAAGACUUUAUUGAAGACUACAAUGAGAAAAACUAUCAGACAGCAGACGGCUGCAUUCAAGUCUGUAGCUGCUGAAUUCAUGGAUGAAUCAUCUGGCACUAGAGAAGAAGACCAUCAAACAUCCACGUCAGCUGAUGGAGGUCCAAGAGUCUCACCAAACAAACAACCUACAGAGUGAAGACCUCCAAUCUGAUUGGACGGCCUCCUAUUCAGCCACGUGUGAACAAAUGCCUCUAAGCUGAUUUGUUUUCUAAAAUAAAUCUCGUUUGAGUCCUAA